GCGGAUGAUUGUGAAAGUCUAAUGUCAUGAGUGGGAAAAUGCUAUUAGUGGUUGUGGAUACAUGGCAAAUAUUUGCAUAUAAAAUCUAUUUACAGUGAAUAUUUGCAAAUAUUUAAUAUUAGUAAAUAAUGAUAUGCCAAUCUAAUAAUAAUGAUACAGACAACAAAAGUUUUAAAUAAAUAAUAAAGAGUUUGAAAAUCAGAG
rnacentral:lncRNA from 1 species